AGCCCACCUUGGGGCUCAAAUCCACGAAACCAGAUGACCUGAGCCAAAAUCAAGAGGUGGACACUUGAAUGACUGAGCCACCCGGGCACCCCUAAAUUGAAAUACUUCUAAAAUCACUGGAAUGAAAAGUUCCUAUGCUCUUCUUAAGUUAACUUAAAGCAUUAUUAACUUUUUGUAGAAGUACUUAAAUAUUUUGAGUUAAACUUGCUUAGUAGGGUCUUUUUCCAACAAAAACAGAUCUGCCUCUGGUGACCUCUCCCUUGUUCUUUUUCUAGCAUACAAUGCCUUCUUAAACAAGAUACAGACAGUUCCAGUGGUUUACGUACCAACCCUAGGAACACCACAACCAGGUUUUGCCCCCACACGUUCUCCCCCACCUUUCACGAGUCCACAGUCCCCACCGGUCCAGAAUCGGCUACAACGUUGGCUGUGGAGUGUAAGGCACGAACGUCCACUUGGACACGUCCCCUGAACUGUAGACGACUGGAGAUUUCUAGCCCUAGACCAGGAGCCAUAAGCCCCCAAACGAGGCUUCUGAGAAUUAUAAAAGGUUUUAAGCUAUUCUACACUAA